ensembl:snoRNA small nucleolar RNA U13
AUCCUUUCGGUUCAAUCACAUGAUGAAUGGUGUGUUCACGGACUGUCCGUGAAAGGUGCUUCCUUUCCUUGUUACGCAAAGCGCCUCAGCCCUUCUGAAC